rnacentral:rRNA from 1 species
AACGAACGCUGGCGGCAUGCCUAACACAUGCAAGUCGAACGAGACCUUCGGGUCUAGUGGCGCACGGGUGCGUAACGCGUGGGAACCCGCCCUUAGGUUCGGAAUAACUCCCCGAAAGGGGUGCUAAUACCGGAUAAUGUCUUCGGACCAAAGAUUUAUCGCCUUUGGAUGGGCCCGCGUUGGAUUAGCUAGUUGGUAGGGUAAAAGCCUACCAAGGCGACGAUCCAUAGCUGGUCUGAGAGGAUGAUCAGCCACACUGGGACUGAGACACGGCCCAGACUCCUACGGGAGGCAGCAGUGGGGAAUAUUGGACAAUGGGCGAAAGCCUGAUCCAGCAAUGCCGCGUGAGUGAUGAAGGCCUUAGGGUUGGAAAGCUCUUUUACCCGGGAUGAUAAUGACAGUACCGGGAGAAUAAGCUCCGGCUAACUCCGUG